UUUUUCUCUUUGAAACCAAUGGUAGAUUGAUUUAUUAUCUAUUAAGGCUGUUCUAUUUUCUGUUUCGGUAAACAUAUUAAAAGUGUCCUAAUUCAACUGUAUGCACACGGCGGAGACUAAGUUCUUGAUCUUGCUCGUGGCAAGAUCUGUCUGGACAAUGUUUUGGAAGAAGAUGCCCCCUUUGAUAUAUGUAGUUGCCAGUUUGCCAUGCAUUACUCCUGGUCAACUGAGGCACGUGCACGUCGGGCCUUGGCCAAUGUAUCAGCAUUG